UAACAAAAGCUCUGCAAAUUAUGAUCAUCCCACAGUGAACAACGCAUCCCCUUGAGACUGCUGUGUUUGUAGUUGUGUAAGUCCAGGCACUCUGAGAAGUUACUGUGAAUACACCAUCAGGAAGUGUCGGUGGCUUUUCUCAGUCUUUCUUGCUAUUCCUCUUUGGAUUUUCCAAAAUGCUGGUCCAUCAUCAAUGAGACUUCUAUGAAAAGCAAAGAACCCUGGUGGACGUGAGAGUGAGGUGGGUCCAAGGGCCGAGCCCCCUCUCUAGGUCUAACAGCCUUUUUUAGGAGAGUGUGCUUGCUCUUCUGAAAGCUCAGGCUACCUGCACUUCCCUUUGUCCAACUCCACAGAAGCACCUUCACCAAAUGCACAAUUGAUGAAUGAACAUGUAAGAAAGCA